AAGUCGUAACAAGGUUUCCGUAGGUGAACCUGCGGAAGGAUCAUUAAAAGAGAGAGGGUCUCCAGGCCCAAACCUCCCCUCCCUGAGAACCAACCUUGCCUUGCUUGGAUGGUACCGCCCAUCAGAGGACCCUUGAAACCCCGUCAUCUGUGGAGUCUGAGCAUGAUACAAUAGUUAAAA
rnacentral:misc_RNA from 1 species